rnacentral:misc_RNA from 1 species
GUCUCCGUUGGUGAACCAGCGGAGGGAUCAUUACAGGAUCGAAAGACUCCUAUAACCCCUGUGAACUUACUACAAAUACGUUGCUUCGGCGGGUGCCCCGGGUCUCCCGGGGCGUUCAGCCCGCCGGCAGCCUUCAAAUUCUGUUUCUUUGCGUUGGCAUCUCGAGUAUACAAAAAUAAGUUAAAACUUUCAACAACGGAUCUCUUGGUUCUG